rnacentral:lncRNA from 1 species
UUUAUUCAAACUGGACCUUUAUUUAUUUUAUUCAUGAUAACCUCCAACUUUGACUGAGGAGACGGAGGGAGUACGAUGACAGUAACAGUUCAUUUCAGUUCAUUUAUUAUGGAGUCCAAGUAGCAGCAAGACUCAUUUAUUGAAGCAGUAGUAUCAGUACAAGGGGUCUAGUUCGGUGUCAGGUAAACUCCGAUGGCCUCAAUCAUUUCGCCCGCACGUCCAAAGAAGCCAAUGAUCUUACCCGAGGCUAGUGGAACAGAGAAAGGUAUUCCGCCACUGGAGCCGAAAGGUCCAUAGCUUUCCUUGUUGGUCCUCAGCAUUAGGUUCCUCACCAGAGU